GAUGAACGCUGGCGGCGUGCCUAAUACAUGCAAGUCGAGCGAACAGACGAGGAGCUUGCUCCUCUGACGUUAGCGGCGGACGGGUGAGUAACACGUGGAUAACCUACCUAUAAGACUGGGAUAACUUCGGGAAACCGGAGCUAAUACCGGAUAAUAUAUUGAACCGCAUGGUUCAAUAGUGAAAGACGGUUUUGCUGUCACUUAUAGAUGGAUCCGCGCCGCAUUAGCUAGUUGGUAAGGUAACGGCUUACCAAGGCAACGAUGCGUAGCCGACCUGAGAGGGGGACGGGCACACCGGGACAGAGGAACGGGACAAACUCCGUAGGGGGGGAAGGGAGGGGAAACUUGCCGGAAGGGGCGAAGGCCUAGCGGGGAAACGCGGGGGGAGGGAAGAAGGGUUAGGGGUCGUAAAACCUGUUUUUUGGGGAAAAAAAAAUGUGUAAGAAACGAUGCCCGUUUGAAAGGAACCGAAGAAGAAGGCCCGGCUAAACUCGGG
rnacentral:rRNA from 1 species